UACGUAGGGUGCAAGCGUUGUCCGGAAUUAUUGGGCGUAAAGCGCACGUAGGCGGUUCGUUAUGUCGGAUGUGAAAGCCCUUGGCUUAACCGAGGAAGUGCAUCCGAAACUGGCGAGCUAGAGUACGAAAGAGGAUCGCGGAAUUCCCGGUGUAGAGGUGAAAUUCGUAGAUAUCGGGAGGAACACCCGUGGCGAAGGCGGCCAUCUGGACCAGUACUGACGCUGAGGCACGAAAGCGUGGGGAGCAAACAGG
rnacentral:rRNA from 1 species